rnacentral:SRP_RNA from 1 species
UUCUUGCAGAAGGUGCGGUUGGGCAGUGGCUCCUUCGGCACUGUCUGGCGAGCGGUGGAUAGACAGAGCUCAGAGCCCGUGGCGGUGAAGCAGUUGGAAAAGGCCAGGCUGGAGAAGGAGCGGCGAAAAGGAGCGGAGUCGCGCCGCGAUGUGGCGCGCGA